rnacentral:tRNA from 2 species
GGCGCUGUGACCGAGUGGCUAGGUUAAGGUUUGCAAAAUCUUAUACACGGUUCGAAUCCGUUCGGCGCCU